CUGCGAGACAGCAGCUGGGCGGAUCUUUGUUCUUUUGACACAAAGCCGAUGAACUUGCGCCCCUGCUUCGUGCAGGUGCUCCGGCUCUGCUGAAGGCGGGGGUUGGGGAAAAUCUAACACGUGAAGUUGCUGUUUCCCAGGGCUGAUCUGAAGUGCACAACACCCAAGAUUUUUGCUGUUAAAAUGGUGGAUUCCGUAUUCAUGCUGCUAAGUGGUCACCCUUCACAACUGAAUGUACACAGAACCCUAAUUUGCAACAUGGCUGAUUUCUCUCUGUUCACUGCAGGCCUCUGCCGGACAGGCUGCCAGUAUUGAUCAGCAUCCCACGUGUGUUCCUUAGGCUGGUACCAAGUUGGCCAUACCGUUCUCGAGGAUUCUGUGCAAACUCAGCAAUGUCCAGCAGAAGAUGGGGUGGCCUCUUUUUUGUGUUUCGUUUUCUUGGAAUCCCUGCAGUUUCCAGUCUCUGACAAGGGAAAUACUAUGUUACCAUGAUUGCCUUUGACUAAUGAGGAUAUUCCCUGGGGGAAGGAUAGUCACUGGAAUAAAACUGGAGCUCCACAAAGGGAAGAAGGGAGUGGAGAGAGUGACAGUUGGGUAAAUAACUGAGAGAAUCUGCUACAUAAACAAAAAGUUAAAAAUUACAAAAUACAGACAACUAUGUCUUCCAUGAGCUGAGUGUUUUCAAGAACUCACUACACAUAACUAUGGAUUCUUUCUUAGACUGGGAUGGUGUUAUGGAUUGAAUUGUGUCCCCCAAAAAUGUAUGUCAACUUGGCUAGGCCAUGAUUCCCAGUAU